GAACACCGUCAUCCCCAUCAUCGCCAUCAUCGCUGCACUCGUUCUUCUCGGCCUCGCUGUCAUUGGAUACAAGAAAUACAGAGGCAGAAAAUCUACAUGUGAAACGUCUCCUGAAAACAGCUCUGAGCUCGCUGAGAAACUGAAUCCAGAGCCUACAUGAUGAACACACCACCCUGCACCCUGUGAGUUUCUCUCUACGGGACGUGGACCAUUCUCACUGUUAAAAACGCCGUUUUAAACGCCUUGUUAAAGAAGCUUCUUUGUUAAACUUGUGUGAGGUUGAAAUCAGUGUAAAUAUGUAGCUUUGUAGAGCUGAUCUCUCCAAACACUGAUGUGUUAAAUGAUUGUUCGGUUUGACCGUCUUCAUCUCUGCAGGUUUCUUGAAACAUUUUGCUCAGGAACAAUCAGAGUGAAGGUCGUCUGUGUGUGUUACUGGAGUCCACCUCUCUCACACUGCAGUCACCGUAACUCUCUGCAAGAUGAGCCAGAAUAAAAACAGACGAGUGGAGUUUCAUCUCAGUGGUGAACUGUCUUAAAUUUGUACCAAACACAGAUAAUAAUUCAAUCUGGUUCCUUCCACGUCUUUAAAAGGCCUCCCUAUGAUCACACACGUGAAAUAAAAUCAUCAGUUCAAGAUUCAUCUUCCAGUUGUGUAAA